GACAGAGGGGGCAAGCGUUGCUCGGAAUUACUGGGCGUAAAGGGCGCGUAGGCGGGAUGGCAAGUCGGUCGUGAAAUCCCUCGGCUCAACCGAGGAACGUCGAUCGAUACUGCUGUUCUUGAGGAUUGCAGAGGAGACUGGAAUUCCCGGUGUAGCGGUGAAAUGUGUAGAGAUCGGGAGGAACACCGGUGGCGAAGGCGGGUCUCUGGGCAAUUCCUGACGCUGAGGAGCGAAAGUGUGGGGAGCGAACAGG
rnacentral:rRNA from 1 species